rnacentral:rRNA from 1 species
UACGGGGGGAGCAAGCGUUGUUCGGAUUUACUGGGCGUAAAGGGCGCGUAGGCGGCCAGCGCAAGUCAGUUGUGAAAUCUCCGGGCUUAACUCGGAACGGUCAACUGAUACUGCGCGGCUAGAGUGCAGAAGGGGCAACUGGAAUUCCUGGUGUAGCGGUGGAAUGCGCAGAUAUCAGGAGGAACACCGAUGGCGAAGGCAGAUCUCUGGGCCGUAACUGACGCUGAGGAGCGAAAGCGUGGGGAGCGAACAGG